AGGGCACCACCAGGAGUGGAGCCUGCGGCUUAAUUUGACUCAACACGGGGAAACUCACCCGGCCCGGACACUGGAAGGAUUGACAGAUUGAGAGCUCUUUCUUGAUUCAGUGGGUGGUGGUGCAUGGCCGUUCUUAGUUGGUGGAGUGAUUUGUCUGGUUAAUUCCGAUAACGAACGAGACUCUAGCCUACUAAAUAGACCAGCGCGUGCUUCGGGCCGCGUUGGCGCUUCUUAGAGGGACGGGCGGCGUUGCAGCCGCAUGAGAAAGAGCAAUAACAGGUCUGUGAUGCCCUUAGAUGUCCGGGGCCGCACGCGCGCUACACUGAAGAGAUCAGCGCGCCUGUGCUUCCUACUCCGACAGGAGCGGGAAACCGAGUGAACCUUUUUCGUGAUUGGGAUUGGGGAUUGUAAUUAUUCUCCAUGAACGAGGAAUUCCCAGUAAGCACAAGUCAUCAGCUUGUGUUGAUUACGUCCCUGCCCUUUGUACACACCGCCCGUCGCUACUACCGAUUGGAUGUU
rnacentral:rRNA from 1 species